UGGAAUUGUGUUUUAUGUGAUUUCACAUGGAUAAUUAACAUCAUAUUGCUUGCCUUCACCAGGGAGAGAGAGAAUUGGGAACUUUAAUUUUUGAAAGAAUGUUUAAAAAUCAAUAAAUUUUCAAGAAAGGCAUAAAAAUUUCAAAAAUAGAAACACAAGAAACAUUAUUUAUAUAUACUUAUUUUUUCCAGGUGAAGCCUUCUAUGGCUCAAGGAGGGGAGGGGAGAGAGUGAAAUUCCCUGGGAAUUUUAAUGUAAUCAACCAAAAAAUUAAUUAAUAAUAAUUUAAAAAAUUAAAAGGCUAUCAGAAAUCAUCUAGCCCAACUCCCUCAUUUAAUAGGAGAAGAAAUGGGAUCCCAGAGAGCUUAAGGGACUUGUUCACUGGGCCCAAAGGUACUUAAGUUGUAAAGCCAGGAAACAAGCUCAUGUUUGCUCUACAAAUCCAGCAUUCUUUACAUUAAACCAUAUUGCCAACUUCUAACCAUUCAUCACCUUCCCAUUACUUAUGGAAUGCUUCCAUGGCAUAUUAAAAAAAAGAAUAAAUUAGAUUUCCCUACAACUAACCCUCUUCCUUAACCCCUACAACUUCCCUCUUCACUUAGCCUAAAUGCCUCUCUUUCUUCAAAGUUUAGCUCAAAUCUACCCCACUUCGUAAAGUCUUCCCUAACCACAAAAGUACGAUAGAAUCUCUUCCUCCUCAGAACUCCUAGAGAAGUCAUUGUCUAUGCCAUCCAUGUAGCCAUAUAACCUAAUGCCUGCUUUUAUUGUUAAUUAUAUUUUUGUAUGUGUUUGUUUCCUCAACUAUAUAAUAAGUUCUUUGAGGGCAGAGAUUGCUUUAUACCUCUUUGUUCCCUGUCCCUUUCCUUUUAGUGCUUAAUAUGGUAUAUUGUACACAAAAGUCAUUCAAUACAAAUUUAUUAAUUGACUGAUUGAUUGCUCUGAGGUUUUUUAAAAAUUUUUUAUUUAAUAUUUUAAAUUUGGGUACCAUGACUUAGCUGCCUUAGUACUUUGGAUCUUCUCACCCUGGAGAUAUCCCUCCUCCAUGGCCUCUAUUUGAGAAGGGACCAGGGGCAGUUAUCCUUCCUUCCCAUCUGACUUUGCUUCUGACUUUCCAGAAAUUCUUUAACACCAUGUCCCAGGCAGGAUCUCUUCCCCACCCAAUUUCAGCUUCCUUUUGUAUUGUUUUCAUUCAGUAGAGUGUAAGGUCCAUUAGGGAAGGCAGGAACUAUCUUUCUUUUUUUCUGGUAUUUGUAUCUUUGGAGUUUGGCAUAGUAAGCUCUUAAUAAAUGCCUGUUUCCUCCUUUUUCCCUCCUUUGCAGUCCCAUGUAAAGUUCAAUCUAUCUUUCUUGGGAGAAAUACUGUCUUUUGAAAUCUCAUUGAGAAGUCACAGCACCAGAGAUGACUAUUCCUCUUAGGAAUAGAAGAAAAAGUCAGUAGUGAAAUAUGUUAAGAAAAGGCUGAUUGGUGUUUUAAGUGGUUUAUUUGUUUUUUUUCAUCCUUACACUUUUUUUUUAACCCUUACCUUCUGUCUUGGAGUCAAUACUAUGUAUUGGUUCCAAAGCAGAAGAGUGGUAAGGGCUAGGCAAUGAGGGUCAAGUGACUUGACCAGAGUCACACAGCUGGGAAGUGUCUGAGGCCAGAUUUAAAUCCAGCACCUCCCAUCUAUAGACCUGGCUCUCAGUCCAUUGAGCCACCCAGCUGCCCCCUUAAAUUCUUAUACUUCUGUCUUAGAAUCAACACCGAGGAUUUGUUCCAAGGCAGAAAAGCAGUAAGGGCUAGGUAAUUAGAGUUCAGUGACUUACCCAGAGUCACACAGCUAGGAAAUGUUAUAAGUGGAUUUAAAAAUAAUUUUUGUUCAUUUGUUUCCCAUUCUUCUUGACACCAUUUGGGGUUUUCUUGGCAAAGAUAUUGGACUGGUUUGCCAUUUCCUUUUCCAACUCACUUUAUAGAUGAGGAAACUAAGGCAAACAGGGCUAAAGUACCUUCUCAGGAUCAGACAGCUAGUAAGUUUCUGAGGUCAGAUUUGAACUUAGUUCUUCCUGAUUCUGAGCCAGGCACUCCAUCUACUGUACCACCUAGUUUCCACAGUCAAUCAAUAAAGGUCAACAUGUGACAGGUUGUUGUUAUCUGUCCUUUAAAAAAAACCAACACCUUACCUUCUAAGGCAGAAUAGUAGUAAAGGCAAUGCAAUUGGGGGAUGUGUCUUGUCCAGGGUCACACAGAAUUUUCUGAGGUCACAUUUGAACCCAGGACCUCACCCCCAUCUCCAGGUUUGGCUCUCUAUCCACUGAGUCACCUAACUGUCCCUUUGUCUUUUGUUUCAGAAGAGGAUCAAUGACAUGAAGAGGGUGAGAUAUCUUGACUUGCCAGUGCUGUGGGAGAGAGGAAUUUCAGAUCCAACUUUCUGUGAUUACAUCAUAUAAGAGGAAGUAUGUAAGAGAGUUAUUAAGGAUGUCAUCAGCAAUGCCUGACUGAUUAAAAAAAGAGAUGAGCCAGUCUCAGAGUGAGAGCAGGGAAUCACUGAUGGGAGAUCACAUGAUUUUUUGGUAUUCACGUAAUGUCAAGACACAGGAAGGCACACAGUAUAUUGGGUCAACUCUCUGAUGGAUUUAUGGGAAGACAAAGGAAAUCUUGAAUAAUCAUGCAAGACAUCCAGUUGGAAGAGAUGUUGAAGCAGCAUUUAGGAGGGGAAUGAUAAAGAAGGAAAUGUAGGCAGUGUAAAGACAAAAGGUCUCCAUGGUCUAUUAAGAAAUUAAAAAGAGGGCAGCUAAGUGGUCAGUGGAUAGAGUCAAGCCUAGAGAUGAGGGAUUCUGGGUUCAAAUCUGGUCUCAGAUAUUUUCUAGCUAUGUGACCCUGGGCAAGUUAUUUAACCCCCAUUGCCUAAGUCUUACCCUCUUCUGGCUUGGAACCAAUACAUAGUUAUUGAUUCUAAGAUAAAAGGUAAGGGUUUGUUUUUUAAAUUUUUUAAAAAUCUUAACAUAACUUGUCCAUUUUUUAUCUAAUUAUUGCCUUUCCAGUUUUAUGAAUGAACGCUUUGGGGAUGACUUUGACUAGUUGGGUUUCUCACCAAGCUUUUUUAAACUGAUUUUUUAUUCCAUUGUUUUUUCUGAAGGGCUGGCACUCAAUCUUCCACUUUACCUCUCUGGGAAACGUUAUCCCUAAGUUUAUGUUUUAAACCAAUACAGCCCUUUGUUGUAAUAUCUUUCUGCUUGGCUAACAAGACAAAUAUUUGUUAAAGUGCAUUUUUAGGCUCUGAGAGUCUCCUACUUAAGAAAAUUGGUUUCCAUUGAUCCAUACUGGCUAUCUUGCCAUCUUCCCCAUCACUUCCCAGAGACAGAGACACACAGAGAGAGGAGGCAAGCACAGGUAGAGCUAUUGGCCUUGGCAAAGAGAAGGUUCAUCACUUCCUCAGAGGCAGGAGUAAUGGAGGAGAAAAGUGGUAAAGAUGGAGAAGGAUUUUGAGACAUUCAAUAGACUAUGGGAAUGAGGGAGUUCACAGUUAAUAUCUCUAUUUUCCCAUUAAAGUAAGAAGCAAUGUCAUUUCCUGAAAGAAGGGAGGACAGGGGAGCUUUUGGAGAUUUGAAUAAAGGAGAGAAGGUUUGGAGCAGAUGUUAAAGUUAACAGGAUAUGAUCAGUCAGAGGCUAAAACAAUAGGCUGAACUAGGAUGAAAUGUAAUCUAUAUAAAUGUAAAAUCUUAUAUUGGGAUUCAAAAAAAUAAUUUUUACAAGUACAAGAUGUAAGAGGCAUGGUGAGAAAAUCAUUUGUCUGAAGGCCUGAGAGUCCUUGUGCAAGUUUAAUAUGAAUUAGAAGUAUAAUAUGAGAACCCAGAAUUAAUUUGCCAAACUAAUGAGAUGCUUGUGGCUAAAUAGAGAUACAGUUUUCAGAAACAAGGAGGUAACCAUCUUACUGUAUUCUGUCAUGAUCAGACUACAUCUGAAGGAUUUUGUUCAGUUCUAGGGGCCCCAUUUCAAGAAAGCUACUGAUAAGCUGGUGAGCAUCCAGAGCAGAGCAAAGAACCUAGAACUUGGGCCAUAGAAACACUGGUUGGAAGUGAGAAUGUUUAUCCUAAUCAAGAGAAAACUUAGGGGGACAUCUGAGGGAUGCCCUCAAGGAUUGGAAGGAUGAUUAGACUUGUUCUGUUGGAUCCCAGAAUAGUAUAGUACUAGGAAGAAUUAAUGGCAUUUGCCUCAAUUUAAAGAAGAACUUAAUAAUUAAAACUAUUUAAAAGCAAAAUAUGUUGCCUCUGGAGUUGAUGGGUUUCUCCUCUUACCUAUGAGGAUCAAAUGAGACUUUUCAAGUGUAAAAGUAUCAGCCCGGUGUUUUGGCAAGGAAUAGGUGGUAGAUUAAUUUUUGUUUUUAAACCCUUACCUUCUGGCUUAGAAUCAGUUUCUAGGCAGAAGAGCAGUAAGGGCUAAGAGAGGAGGGGGUUAAGAGACUUUCCCAGAGUCACACAACUAAGAAGUGUCUGGGGUCACUUUUGAAUCCAGGUCUUCCUGUCUCUGAACCACUUAGCUGCACUCUGCUUUAUAAAUUCUUAUUCCCUUUUCCCCCUUAUACAAAACGUGGGUGACCAAUCCAGGGAAGUGGUGGAAGGCUGGUCUACACUCAAACACUCCAUCUUCCCUGUAUAAUUGAAAAUAUGGUACCCUAAAAAAGAACUACAUUUCCUAGGAGUCCACUGACUUCCUGUCAUUACGUAUUUCCUGUAGAUAGGGGAUAUUAGGUGGGGACUUGGAAGGUCCCACAUUUUUACUUCCGGUCUUGGUGGUGGUAAGGUGGGUGUUUGAACAGGCUUAUCAGGCAUGGGCACAUACAUGGUCUUUAUUUUGUAUCUUCUUUAUUCCUUGAUUUCUAAUGAUCAUUAAUAAACCUCUAAAACUAUAAUAUUUUCAUUAUUAAGAUAUAAUUUUUACACCCCAUGGCUGUGGUCUGUGUUCAAAGCUAUAGGCACUAACACUUUUUAUUGUAGUAUUUGUGUAUUUUACCAUUUAACACAUAAAACGGAACUACCAUAUUUAUUAGUUUCCUAUCUUUUUUAAUAUCGCUGAUGUUUUGGAGUGUUUUGCCUCUUACUCCAUUUUCUCUAUAAGCUUUUGUAUUUUUAUUGUAGUUUUUCAAAGCAUGAUGAUUUAGGAGCAGAUAUGUUGUAUUAUAGCAGAAUUGCCUGAAUUAGUUAGACUCAAUGGGCUCUACAGUCUUCCAAUUCUGAAACUUGAUGCUUCUGUAAUUUAUCUAGGCAUUUCUUGUUAAACAUGUAUAGUCUCUUGGGAGAAAUUAAAUUCAAACUGGCAAAUAUUAUUAAAUGCCUACUUUGUGUAAAUUACUGUGCUAAGAACCGGGGAUAAAAGAACAAAAUUUAAAAUAUGCUGUCUUCAAGGAGCUUAUAGUACCAAAAUAAAGGCUCCAUAUAUCAUCUAACUAUUGUAUCAUUGUUAAACUCACAGCAAAAGUUGGAUUAAUAAUGCAUGACAUGAACCCUCUGGUAGGGUAAUAUCCUUCUUGCCACGGCAAAGGAUGACCUCAAUAAAUUCCAGUCAAGUAUUCUUUUACUCCUUGGUCUAGUCUAAUCCUACAAAUACAUAUAUGCAACGAAUAGUACCUUUCAUGCUAUCGAUACCACUUGAGAUUUUUAUUACUUUGUUGUUUAGUUGUUUUUCAGAUAUUUCCAACUCUUUAUGGCUCCAUUUGGGAUUUUCUUCUCAAAGAUGCUGGAGUGGUUUGCCAUUUCCUUCUCCAGCUCAUCUUACAGAUGAGGAAAUAGAGGUAAACAGGGUUAAGUGAUUUGCUCAGGAUCACAUAGCUAGUAUUUGAGGACACAUUUGAACCCAGGACUUUCUGUUUUUAGGUCCAGCUUUCUAUCCACAACCAAGGAAUAUUUCUAACAUUUUUUUAAAAAUGUACAAAAC